rnacentral:rRNA from 1 species
UACGUAGGGUGCGAGCGUUGUCCGGAAUUAUUGGGCGUAAAGAGCUCGUAGGCGGUGUGUCACGUCGGCCGUGAAAACCUGCAGCUUAACUGUGGGCGUGCGGUCGAUACGGGCAUCACUGGAGUUCGGCAGGGGAGACUGGAAUUCCUGGUGUAGCGGUGAAAUGCGCAGAUAUCAGGAGGAACACCGGUAGCGAAGGCGGGUCUCUGGGCCGAUACUGACGCUGAGGAGCGAAAGCGUGGGGAGCAAACAGG